CAAUGGCAGCAGCAGCUUUGUCCAGAAGCAGAGGAGUGGCUGGUGUCACAACCACCAGAGGCCUGUUCUUCAUCUUCUCCCUACUGUGUCUGGUUUGCCUCGCAAGUUCAUUCAUUGACAAGGACACACUGGAAAGGCAAAAGGAAAAUGUCCAGAAAGCAGAACAACAAAUUCUAAAAAGUUUGAAGGUGAGUCAGUCAGUUUCUCUGU
rnacentral:lncRNA from 15 species